GGGAAUAUAGCUCAGUGGCACAGUGCCUGCCUGGCAAGCAUGAGGUCUUGAGUUUGAUUCCCAGUACCA
rnacentral:tRNA from 1 species